GAUGAACGCUGGCGGCGUGCUUAACACAUGCAAGUCGAACGGUGAAGCAGGAGCUUGCUCCUGUGGAUCAGUGGCGAACGGGUGAGUAACACGUGAGCAAUCUGCCCUGGACUCUGGGAUAUGCGUUGGAAACGACGUCUAAUACCGGAUACGAGGCGUGGGGGCAUCCCCAACGCCUGGAAAGAACGUCGGUUCAGAAUGAGCUAGCGGCCUAUCAGGUAGUUGGUGAGGUAACGGCUCACCAAGCCUACGACGGGUAGCCGGCCUGAGAGGGUGUCCCGCAACACAGGGACUGAGAAGCGGGCGAGACUCGAACGGGGGGCAGCGGGGGGGAAUAGUGCACAAGGGGCGAAAGGCUGGUGCAGCAACGCCGCGUGAGGGACGACGGGCUUCGGGUUGUAAACCUCUGUUAGUAGGGAAGAAGCAAAAGUGACGGUACCUGCAGAAAAAGCACCGGCUAACUACGUGCCAGCCGCCGCGGUAACAC
rnacentral:rRNA from 1 species